GUGGUUGCUGGCUGUUACCAGGACAACCGGAGGCGAUUGACCGUUAUCUGCGGUUUGGAGCCGUUAGCGGGAGAGGCAGAGAUAUUCAGAGGUCUUUUAGGAUGCGCUAAAGGGUCGUGAGGGCUCUCUUAAAAUUUUCUUCACAAGCGGUUAUCCAGUCGUGCCCCGCGGCCCUGCUGCUGGCCCCGGGGAUCUGAGUCGUACCCUCUUGUUUUUCUCUGAGUCAGUCUUAAGGUGAAAUGAAGUGUGGCCCAGUGGCUCCUCACUGUCGCUUCUCUAGUUUUCUGCCUCCUUUUAGAAAAUUGAAUUGAAAAGACAGGAUGAAGUGGACACAGCAUGUGAAGACAAUUCUUUCAAGAAGUUUGGCUGUCAAGGAAAACAGAGAAUGUAUUAUCAGCAGGGCGUGGUGGCUCACACCUAUAAUCCCAGCACUUUGGGAGGCCAAGGCAGCCAGAUCACCUAAGGUCAGGAGUUCAAGACCAGCCUAGCCAACAUGGUGAAACCCUGUCUCUACUAAAAAUAUAAAAAUUAGCUGAGUGUGGUGAUGGGCGCUUGUAAUCCCAGCUACUCAGGAGGCUGAGGCAGGAGAAUCACUUGAACCCAGGAAGCAGAGGUUGCAGUGAGCCGAGAUCGCACCUCUGCACUCCCACCUGGACAACAGAGCGAGACUCCAUCUAAUAAAUAAAUACAUAAAUAGGUAUUAUGGUGUAUAAUUCCUGAUUUUUCGGUUGCUCCACAUCCCUUUCAGGAAACCACCACUCACCAGCCUUAGCUGGUUCAAGUGAGGCUGAUUCCCAACUGCCCACACUGCCCCCAUUCCUACACUUGAUUC
rnacentral:lncRNA from 10 species